GGGGUUGUGGCUCAGAGGUAGAGCGCUCGCCUAGCAUGCGUGAGGCAUGGGGUUUAAUCCUCAGCACCA
rnacentral:tRNA from 1 species